CGGCGUGCUUAACACAUGCAAGUCGAACGGAAAGGCCCUGCUUGCAGGGUGCUCGAGUGGCGAACGGGUGAGUAACACGUGGGUGAUCUGCCCUGCACUUCGGGAUAAGCCUGGGAAACUGGGUCUAAUACCGGAUAGGAGCCAUUUUUAGUGUGAUGGUUGGAAAGUUUUUUCGGUGUAGGAUGAGCUCGCGGCCUAUCAGCUUGUUGGUGGGGUAAUGGCCUACCAAGGCGGCGACGGGUAGCCGGCCUGAGAGGGUGGACGGCCACAUUGGGACUGAGAUACGGCCCAGACUCCUACGGGAGG
rnacentral:rRNA from 1 species